rnacentral:rRNA from 1 species
UACGUAGGGUGCGAGCGUUAAUCGGAAUUACUGGGCGUAAAGCGUGCGCAGGCGGUUCGUUGUGUCGGCGGUGAAAGCCCCGGGCUCAACCUGGGAACUGCGUUUGAAACUACAAGGCUAGAGUGUAGCAGAGGGGGGUGGAAUUCCACGUGUAGCAGUGAAAUGCGUAGAGAUGUGGAGGAACACCGAUGGCGAAGGCAGCUGGCUACACGAAUAUUGACACUGAUGCACGAAAGCGUGGGGAUCAAACAGG